rnacentral:rRNA from 1 species
CAACAGGGAUUGCCCCAGUAACGGCGAGUGAAGCGGCAACAGCUCAAAUUUGAAAUCUGGCCCCCGGGCCCGAGUUGUAAUUUGCAGAGGAUGCUUUUGGCGCGGUGCCUUCCGAGUUCCCUGGAACGGGACGCCAUAGAGGGUGAGAGCCCCGUACGGUUGGACACCAAGCCUAUGUAAAGCUCCUUCGACGAGUCGAGUAGUUUGGGAAUGCUGCUCAAAAUGGGAGGUAUAUUUCUUCUAAAGCUAAAUACCGGCCAGAGACCGAUAGCGCACAAGUAGAGUGAUCGAAAGAUGAAAAGCACUUUGAAAAGAGGGUUAAACAGCACGUGAAAUUGUUAAAAGGGAAGCGCUUGUGACCAGACUUGCGCCCGGUGAAUCACCCAGCCCUCGCGGCUGGGGCACUUUGCCGGCUCAGGCCAGCAUCAGCUCGCCGUCGGGGACAAAAGCUUCGGGAACGUAGCUCUCUUCGGGGAGUGUUAUAGCCCGUUGCAUAAUACCCUUCGGCGGGCUGAGGUACGCGCUCCGCAAGGAUGCUGGCGUAAUGGUCAUCAGCGACCCGUCUUGAAACACGGACCAAGGAGUCAACCUUAUAUGCGAGUGUUUGGGUGUCAAACCCCUACGCGUAAUGAAAGUGAACGCAGGUGAGAGCUUCGGCGCAUCAUCGACCGAUCCUGAUGUUCUCGGAUGGAUUUGAGUAAGAGCAUAUAGGGUUGGACCCGAAAGAAGGUGAACUAUGCGUGUAUAGGGUGAAGCCAGAGGAAACUCUGGUGGAGGCUCGCAGCGGUUCUGACGUGCAAAUCGAUCGUCAAAUAUGCGCAUGGGGGCGAAAGAC